GCCGAUCUCGAAAACCUGUCCCAGUUCGGACUGGAGUCUGCAACCCGACUCCACGAAGUUGGAUUCGCUAGUAAUCGCGCAUCAGCCAUGGCGCGGUGAAUACGUUCCCGGGCCUUGUACACACCGCCCGUCAAGCCAUGGGAGCCGGGGGCGCCUGAAGUCCGGGACCGCGAGGACCGGCCUAAGGCGAAACUGGUGACUGGGGCUAAGUCGUAACAAGGUAAC
rnacentral:rRNA from 1 species